GACGGAGGGUGCAAGCGUUGUUCGGAUUGACUGGGCGUAAAGGGCGUGUAGGCGGUCGGUCAAGUCUGGUGCGAAAGCCCGGGGCUCAGCUCCGGAAGUGCAUCGGAAACUAGCUGGCUGGAGCGCGAUAGAGGAGGGCGGAAUUCCUGGUGUAGCGGUGAAAUGCGUAGAUAUCAGGAGGAACACCGGCGGCGAAGGCGGCCCUCUGGAUCGUUGCUGACGCUGAGACGCGAAAGCGUGGGGAGCAAACAGG
rnacentral:rRNA from 1 species